CACUAAGUCACCUUUCAGAGACUGUUUGCUUCAGUUUGUCUUGUAUGCCAGAAAGGUUUCUUUGGAGCUAUGGAAGAGUCCUCAAAAUCUGGAGUGGAUUUUGUACUUGCAGCACAUAUCAGUUUGGAUUAGCCACAUUUCAAGUACUCACGUGGCUAUGUGAAGAUCUAGGAAAUGCCUUUCCUAUAAGUUACCUGGGAGGCCAAGUUAAUCAGAAGACUCUCUGGGGAAAGCAUGAACACAGUCCCCUACUACCACAAAUCAUGCACUAGAGUUUCCCGCAUUUGGGGAAAUCGCAGGGGUCAGCACAUCCGGAGUGCAAUGGAUAAGCCUCGCCCUGGGA